rnacentral:rRNA from 1 species
UACGUAGGUGGCAAGCGUUGUCCGGAUUUACUGGGCGUAAAGAGCGCGCAGGCGGCCAAGUCAGUCGAAUGUGAAAGCCCCGGGCUUAACCCGGGAAUGGCAUUGGAUACUGCAGAUCUGGAGGUUCGGAGGGGGGACUGGAAUUCUUGGUGUAGCAGUGAAAUGCGUAGAUAUCAAGAGGAACACCAGUGGCGAAGGCGAGUCCCUGGACGACACCUGACACUGAGGCACGAAAGCUAGGGGAGCAAACAGG